CCCUCAGGUAGCACAAUGGGUCAAUGUGUUUGGCUGUUAACCAGAAGGUUGGUGGGUCAAGCCCACCCAGGGA